CACGGAGGGUGCGAAUAAAUGUUGUCAGUUAAUAGUUAUAUUUGUAUUUUAGAGAUUAAUAGUGAAUUUAUUAGGUGAAAUUUUAAAUUUAAAGUAAUUUCUGUAAAAAUAUAGAAGCUGUGAAAUUUAAACGUUAGACUA
rnacentral:rRNA from 1 species